rnacentral:siRNA from 1 species
AGGGCGGAUCUACGUAUGGCA